UACGGAGGGUGCAAACGUUGCUCGGAAUCAUUGGGCGUAAAGCGCACGUAGGCGGCCUGAUAAGUCGGGUGUGAAAGCCCUGGGCUCAACCCAGGAAGUGCACUCGAAACUGUCAGGCUUGAAUAUGGAAGAGGGUCGCGGAAUUCCCGGUGUAGAGGUGAAAUGCGUAGAUAUCGGGAGGAACACCAGUGGCGAAGGCGAUCAUCUGGGGUUGUUCUGACACUGAGGAGCGAAAGCUAGGGGAGCAAACGGG
rnacentral:rRNA from 1 species